UACGUAGGGGGCAAGCGUUGUCCGGAAUCAUUGGGCGUAAAGCGCGUGUAGGCGGUCCGGUAAGUCGGCUGUGAAAGUCGGGGGCUCAACCCUCGGAUGCCGGUGGAUACUGUCGGGCUAGAGUGCGGGAGAGGCGAGUGGAAUUCCUGGUGUAGCGGUGAAAUGCGCAGAUAUCAGGAGGAACACCAAUUGCGAAGGCAGCUCGCUGGGACGUUACUGACGCUGAGACGCGAAAGCGUGGGGAGCAAACAGG
rnacentral:rRNA from 1 species